AACAAACGCUGGCGGCGUGCCUAAUACAUGCAAGUCGAACGGGGUAGCAAUACCUAGUGGCGCACGGGUGAAUAAUACAUGGGUAAUCUGCCUCAAAGUUGGGGAUAACCUUCCGAAAGGAAGGCUAAUACCGAAUAAGACCACAUGAUCUGCGGAUCAAGAGGUCAAGGGUUUUUCGCUUUGAGAUGAGCCCAUGCGGGAUUAGCUAGUUGGUGAGGUAAUGGCUCACCAAGGCCACGAUCCCUAGCUGGUCUGAGAGGAUGAUCAGCCACACUGGAACUGAGACACGGUCCAGACUCCUACGGGAGGCAGCAGUAGGGAAUAUUGCGCAAUGGGGGAAACCCUGACGCAGCGACGCCGCGUGAGUGAUGAAGGCCUUCGGGUCGUAAAGCUCUGUCGUAUGGGAAUAAUAAACUGAAUGUACCAUACAAGAAAGGAUCGGCUAACUUCGUGCCAGCCGCCGCCGUAA
rnacentral:rRNA from 1 species